AGCGAACGCUGGCGGCAUGCUUAACACAUGCAAGUCGCACGGCCGGGCAACCGGCAGUGGCGGACGGGUGAGUAACGCGUAGGUAUCUGUCCAUGGGUGGGGGAUAACCGUGGGAAACUACGGCUAAUACCGCAUGACACCUGAGGGUCAAAGGCGCGAGUCGCCUGUGGAGGAGCCUGCGUCCGAUUAGCUAGUUGGUGGGGUAAAGGCCUACCAAGGCGACGAUCGGUAGCUGGUCUGAGAGGAUGAUCAGCCACACUGGGACUGAGACACGGCC
rnacentral:rRNA from 1 species